GACGUAGGGCGCGAGCGUUGUCCGGAUUUAUUGGGCGUAAAGAGCUCGUAGGCGGCUUGUUGCGUAGGCUGUGAAAAACCCGCAGCUCAACUGUGGGCUUGCAGCUGAUACGGGCAGGCUAGAAUUCGGUAGGGGAGACUGGAAUUCCUGGUGUAGCGGUGAAAUGCGCAGAUAUCAGGAGGAACACCGGUGGCGAAGGCGCCGCUCUGGGCCGAAACUGACGCUGAGGAGCGAAAGCGUGGGUAGCAAACAGG
rnacentral:rRNA from 1 species